rnacentral:rRNA from 1 species
AUGUUCCUUUGGAGGUUAUCUAAACACUCUAUACCAACUAAUGACGUUAGGGCGCAUCCACACAUGUCAGACUCCAGCGCAUGCGGCAUUUGCGGCGCCCCAGAUUCAUGGAGACAUUUCCUCUUGAAAUGCGGUUUCAUCAACAGGUAUCUUCAAGAUCUGAACCUGCUGGCUGCACCUACUCUUAACCAGACUCAACAAGCUGCUCAUUUGGCCAAUGCAAAUACUCGACGCCCAAAAGCACCACCAGCGGGCCAUGCAAAGAUUCAUGUCGAUGCUGCUUGUCGUAAGGGACUAGGAGGCGCAGUGGCAGCUGUUUGCUGUGAUGAAACGGGCGCUUAUCUGGGAAACUCAGCCCUCGUGAUUGCAGGAGUUGACGACCCUGAAAUUCUGGAAACAAUAGCCUACAGGGAGGCGCUAGCAUUGGCACAAGAUCUCAACAUCCAAAGCCUUGUUGUUGCAUCAGGCUCUAAGGGAGCAUAUGGAGCUAUCAACAACAGAAACGAUGGAACCAAUGGUGCAAUCAUCUCGGAGAUUCAUAGUAUAGCUUUUACUUUGAGUUGUAGUUUUACAUUUGAAGGUCGUGCCGUUAAUGUUGAGGCAUAUAGAUUAGCCAAGUAUACAUUUUCUUUAGGUCCGGGGCGACACAUUUGGCUAGGCCAACCCCAUGACCAAAGAUGUAUCCCACUUUAUGUGGUCUUUGCUGAAUAA